rnacentral:rRNA from 1 species
UGGGGAAUUUUGGACAAUGGGCGCAAGCCUGAUCCAGCCAUGCCGCGUGCAGGAUGAAGGCCUUCGGGUUGUAAACUGCUUUUGUACGGAACGAAAAGACUCUGGUUAAUACCUGGGGUCCAUGACGGUACCGUAAGAAUAAGCACCGGCUAACUACGUGCCAGCAGCCGCGGUAAUACGUAGGGUGCGAGCGUUAAUCGGAAUUACUGGGCGUAAAGCGUGCGCAGGCGGUUAUAUAAGACAGAUGUGAAAUCCCCGGGCUCAACCUGGGAAUGGCAUUUGUGACUGUAGAGCUAGAGUACGGUAGAGGAGGAUGGAAUUCCGCGUGUAGCAGUGAAAUGCGUAGAUAUGCGGAGGAACACCGAUGGCGAAGGCAAUCCCCUGGACCUGUACUGACGCUCAUGCACGAAAGCGUGGGGAGCAAACAGGAUUAGAUACCCCCGUAGUCCCUGAGCGGGCUGGCAAGGCGCAU